rnacentral:rRNA from 1 species
CAAAGGAAGCGAUUCCGGCAACGGAUGGGCAUGCGUGACAUUAGCUAGUUGGCGGGGCAACGGCCCACCAAGGCGACGAUGUCUAGGGGUUCUGAGAGGAAGGUCCCCCACACUGGUACUGAGACACGGACCAGACUCCUACGGGAGGCAGCAGUGAGGAAUAUUGGUCAAUGGGCGCGAGCCUGAACCAGCCAAGUCGCGUGAGGGAUGACGGCCCUACGGGUUGUAAACCUCCUUUGUCGGGGAGCAAAUUCCGCCACGUGUGGCGGAGUCGAGAGUACCCGAAGAAAAAGCAUCGGCUAACUCCGUGCCAGCAGCCGCGGUAAUACGGAGGAUGCGAGCGUUAUCCGGAUUUAUUGGGUUUAAAGGGUGCGUAGGCGGACUGUCAAGUCAGCGGUAAAAUACGGGGGCUCAACCUCCGCCCGCCGUUGAAACUGACGGUCUUGAGUGGGCGAGAAGUAUGCGGAAUGCGUGGUGUAGCGGUGAAAUGCAUAGAUAUCACGCAGAACUCCGAUUGCGAAGGCAGCAUACCGGCGCCCAACUGACGCUGAAGCACGAAAGCGUGGGUAUCGAACAGGAUUAGAUACCCUGGUAGUCCACGCAGUAAACGAUGAAUACUAGCUGUCCGGGGCGAAUGAGCCCUGG